UUAUGUAUACAAUGUAUAUGUAUAUAAAGAACCUUAGACUCCAUUGAGGGUUUCCAGUGUGUAGACCUGUGUUCUAAAUUCCCUACUAGAAUUUCCACUUGCCCAUUUGCUAAGGGUGAGGAAUUAUUCCAGCUUAGCCAAUGGGAAAAGAACACUGUUUUUACUGGUUUCAUUACCUUGGUGCUGCGCAGAAGGAUUUCCAUAGCACUGGUGAGGGUGUGGCCCUGAUUGGAGAGAGGCCUGGAAGGUUUCCAUGCCAGCGGAGGGAUUGGAGAAAGACUUGGAAAAACAAUGCCGACCAUUGUUUCCUUAGCCUGCUUUGGCUCCCCUCAGUCUGCUCUGUGAAGACACUGAAUCCAUUGACUAAGUCACUGACAUUUUCCUAGCAGAGGAUUUUUUCCCCUUAUUUGUAGGAGGUGGCAGUAGGAUUUUCUGGCAGUCCAAGACUUCAAGCACCAGAAGGGCAGAACGAACCCCUGUCUGUUUUGCUCAUUGUUCUAUCUUUAGCAAAUAUGAAGUCAUUAACACACAUAAACACAACCAAGUACUGUAUACCUUGCAGCGAUUGCUCACAUGAACUGAUCUGAUACCAAGUGGAAGUGACCUGCUCUCAGGCUCAGCACUUAAAGAAGCUUCUGAUGAACACAUCCCUGCCCAAUAAGAAGUUCCAGAAGGAAUUAAAACCAAAACUUAAAUGUUGAAAAGAAAGAGAUCAUCAGUAGCCACCAAAGAAGGUGUGUUGAAGGUGUCCAGAGUGGCAUGGGUCUGGUUCACAGCAGAACUACCACCUUUGGAUGUGGCAGAGAGCAAGAUAUACACUUUCUAUAACUCUAAAGAAUAAUCAAGGGAGUCACAGUGAAUCACAAGACUGCAAAUUCCUCGAGAGGUACAUGAAGCAGUGGAAAUAUGUUUGCACUGGAGUCAAACAGCCAUGGCUUGGAAGUCCAACUCUUCAUCUUCCAGCUCUGUGACCUUGCGAAGUUACUUAAUUUUAAAUGAAAUAAUGUAAUAAAGCACUUAACACAAUAGCUAUUAUUAUUGUUACUAUCUUUUUAUUCCUAAAGAUCUUAGUAACGCUUUGAAGAUCAUCACUUUUUCGAAAAUAUGUGUUGGCUGAUUUUUAUUUCAUUGAUCAAACUGUCUAAAUCCAGUCAUGUUAAUAUUUGGCACUAUUAGAAAGUAACUCA
rnacentral:lncRNA from 10 species